rnacentral:tRNA from 1 species
UGCGGGAUAGACUGGAGUUGGUCCCAGCGCGGUCUCAUAAGCCGUCCUACGCCGGUUCGAAUCCGGCUCCCGCGU